rnacentral:lncRNA from 1 species
CAUUGUUCAGCAAAGACUCAAGAGUCAAGCCCUUGAAGAAUUACUUUCAAGAAAGGGCAUGGACUUGGGUUGGUGGGAAGGAUCUGGGAAGAGUGAGGGAUAGGAAGUGAUCAGACUAUACUGUAUGAAAACUAUUUUUUUUAAUUGAAAAGAAAAACCUCAAAAAUGCUUAUAAAAUUUGAAAAGAAGAGUUACUCUGAGCAUUUUUCUCUAUUGUAAAACAAAGAGGUUGAGCUCUUAGUCCUUCUGGUCUUGUAUUGAUUGCUAGCUUCUCAGUGUGUGGUACUGCUGACAAACACUUUGUUCCAAUUCAUGAUAAAGCAUUUUAUAAAAUGUUCUGGGGCUGGAGAGCUGGCUCAGCCGCUAAGAGAUCUUUUUGUUGCUGUAGAGAACCCAGGUUUAAUUCUCACCACCUACUUGGUGGCUCACAAUCGUCUGUAGCCUCAGUUGAAGGAAUCCAAUGCCCUCUUCUGACCUUCAUGAGCACCAGGCACACACUGUGCACAGACAUAAAUGUGUUCAAAAUACUCACACAUAAAUAAAUCUAAAAAAGUAAGACUUUUCUGUAUUACCCAUAGUUUCCCUUUGUGACAUAUUGAUAUUCAUAAGUGAUAAUGUUUAAAUACUGCUUGUCAACAUGGUGUGCUUUACGUAUUUUCCCAGCUUGCUCCGAUACCCUGCCUCCAUUCUUUCUAUUGCUAAUAAUUGAGUCAGGCCCUUGGCCUUACCCAUGCCAGGCAAGUGCAAUUCCAUUAAACUACACCUCUUACAAAGACCCUUAAAAGUAUUUUUAUCUACUGGGUGGUGGUGGCGGCAUAUGCUUUGGGAGGCAGAGACAGGCAGAUCUCUGAGUUCAAGGCCAGCCUGGUGUACAGAGAGAGUUCCAGGAUAUUUAGGGCUACAUGGAGAAGCACUAUCUUAAAAAAAC